ACCGGCUACUCAUUUGGUGCCAGCAUCGUUUGCAUCAGAUAAAUCACAACAAAGAUAUGGUGACCCAAGACCCACGGUUAUAUAAGGAGGUGUAUGAAGAAACGACAGCAUAGAGGACCCAGCACAUCCCCUCACAGAUUCCAUGCCUUUCAAAAUAUUAGAACAAGAUUUCAAGGCAUUUUCCUUAAAGAACUUGCAACAUUUCAGGAGUGCGUCACCAUUUGGGUUUUCAUUUUGUACAAUACAUCACCUAACACCAAGAACGCUACAUUUUGUAAGCUAUGUUUCUUGCAUUGCCAGUAACCAAUAUUUAAAAGAAAAAAGAAUGUGUAUAUAUAAAUUGAUAUCU